GAUGAACGCUGGCGGCGUGCCUAACACAUGCAAGUCGAGCGGUUCUCUUCGGAGAAGAGCGGCGGACGGGUGAGUAACGCGUGGGUAACCUGCCCUGUACACACGGAUAACAUACCGAAAGGUAUGCUAAUACGAGAUGAUAUAUAAAAGUUGCAUGACUUUCAUAUCAAAGCUUUUGCGGUACAGGAUGGACCCGCGUCUGAUUAGCUAGUUGGUAAGGUAACGGCUUACCAAGGCGACGAUCAGUAGCCGACCUGAGAGGGUGAUCGGCCACACUGGAACUGAGACACGGUCCAGACUCCUACGGGAGGCAGCAGUGGGGAAUAUUGCACAAUGGGCGAAAGCCUGAUGCAGCAACGCCGCGUGAGCGAUGAAGGCCUUCGGGUCGUAAAGCUCUGUCCUCAAGGAAGAUAAUGACGGUACUUGAGGAGGAAGCCCCGGCUAACUACGUGCUAGCCGCCGCGGUAAGAC
rnacentral:rRNA from 1 species